rnacentral:tRNA from 1 species
GAAGGUAUAGCUCAAGUAGAAGAGCACCUGCUUAGCACGCACGAGUUUCUGGGUUCAAUCCCCAGUACCUCCU